GCAUUUUUUGUUUUCUGCAUUUCGAUUUUUAAAAAAUGUAGAAACAUCUGUUAUUUUCGUGAUAAAAUUAAACAAUUUAUUUAAAAAAAUACUCAUUAACAUUCAAUAAAUAUUUGCUACAACAUGCAAGACAUUCGUCAAGAAAUAAUUCGUGAAAAUCUUCCAAAAUUAAUACAACAACUUACAGCAUUUGAAAUCUCCGAUGAUAAUUUCAAACGCUGUGAACAAUUCGCAUUGUACAUAAUAAAAAACCAUCGUAAUUUAAGCGUUAAUAGCCAUGAAAUCAAACGCAAAAUCGAAGGAAUGCAGGAAAAAUUCCGUGUUGCAAAUUUGUCUCCGUAUGCCGAUCAUUUGCAGCAGCUGUGCGAAGAAUUGGUCAAACAUCCACUUUGUGUUAUGCACUACGAAGUAGAUGUAUCUUGGUCUGUAUUAGAAUUUCUAUUCAAUCUAGCUUAUAAUCCAGUUGGAGCAUUGCGUAAAAAUAAAAAUCAAAUCGAUUUGAAUGCUUUGAAAGCCACUGACGACGAAGGUGGCGACAAAGAAGACAAAUAUUGGAAAGAACUCCUUAAAGAAGAUUUCAUUGAUGAUUGUUGUAAUUUGGAUUCGGAUUCUGAUUUAAGUGUUUGGUCAGACGAAGAAGGUGAAAGUUCCUCAACCGAUGUUAAAUCUAUUCUUUCAAAUUCGACUGAUGAUAAAACUUGUAAGAUUAAAUGGCCAGCAAGUUGGAAACCUCCACAAAAAGAUCCUCAUUUUGAACAAUUUGAUGGUCGAAAGUCGAGAGAGAUUCUAAAUGCGAGUGUUCAAAGAGAUUGGUGGAAUCCCACCAAUAAAUCACUAUUAGCAAUUCCCAGUCAAAGAACUGAAGCUAAUUUUGCACAAUUGUACAAUUCUUUUCUCAGUGAAACAUCAAAUAAUCUUAUUAAACGACAAGUGCCAUCAACAGAGUCGGAACAUUCAUUGCUUAAAGAAAUCAUUUGGAUGUUUAAUUCGCCGCAAACUUGUAAAUUUUUUAAAGUUGUUGAUAAUGAUGUUCAAGUACAGGAAAAUGUAUCGAUUCCCAGCUUAAGUGUGAAUGGACUAAGAACUUACCUUGAAGAAUCAUUUAUUCCUCAUAUAAAAAUGAUGAAUACUUUGAAGAAAUUCAUCGAAUCAGUGUACGUUCAAACUGAUUCACCAUCGCCAAUCACAUACGAAUGUUAUGCUGCUAACUUGGUUGAUCUUUUGGAGCCCAUAAACAGUGCCAUAUUAGAAGCUGAUGUAUCAAUUCAAAAACCACAAUCACAAGUGAUUUCUACACUUAUUCAAUUACAAUUUCGUCUUCAUAAAAGUAUGUUGCUUUUGAAGAGAAUUCAUAAUAUUCAUACUCAGGUUGUGCUUGAUUCGAAUCAAUCACCAUCACAUAUCCUCAGUGCCCAUUUACUAGCAGCUCUUCUUCAUAUCAAUCAUAAUGCCCAAAAUCCCGAUGAAGCAAAUUUAUCCAUGUCCCUUUUCCUAACAACAGUUAAGGUAUUUUGUCAACUUAUCGAAGCAUGGUGGAGUGAUGGACGAUUAGAUGAUUGGCAAAAUGAAUUUGUUGUUGAAAAAAUUGGUGAAGGUGCUGAAAUAAAAUAUCGUCAAUUCACAAAAAAUCGAGAAAUGGCUUUCUUUGUGCCAGCCAGUGUUUCAACUAUUAUAACAGAAAAUAGUUUUAUACAACUUUUACUUAGCCAUUCUGAAGAAGCAGGAAGUACACUAAAUUUGUUGUAUCAAAUUAAUAAAAUUUCCGAUUUAAGGAAUUCUCUAGACAUCAAAGGUAAAUUAUAUGAUCAAUUUAUUGAAGAAGUAUGGACAAACAUAAGAGAAUUCAGCAUAUCAAAAUCAAGUUCGUCGUCUCCGUCCACUAGUCCUAUCCCAAUAGAUGAAUUUGAAAGAUUGAACUUGGAUGAAAGUUCCGAGUCGCGCAAAACUUUCGAAUGUCUUGCAACAAACGAUCAAUUUCUUCUCAUGGCUUUUGCUUGUAAUUUAGAUGAGCUUAGCAAAGAGCCUACGGAAAAAUCAGACAAUACUACCAAAGAGCCUCCACCAGCUUUAAAAAUAUUUAAUGAAUUGAGUAGAAUAUCGGAAAUUAUUCUACCACUCGAAGAUAUAAUUCUCACCUCAAUGACUCGAAUAUUAAAUGCACGCAUUGCUUAUGCUAAUCAAUUUGUUAUAAAAAUGUAUCUGGAAGAGUUUCAAGUUAAGAAACAUUUCCAAAAUAUUCGAAAAGUAUUACUUUUUGAAUGCAGUGAUUUGAUGUCAUAUUUUUAUUCCAAACUUUUUGUCCAAAUAGAAUCUGAAGAAAGUUGGGCAAAUCCUUUCUUAUUAACAGUGCAAUUAGAUGAUAUAAUGUGUUCAAAAUUUCCAGAGCUUUCAUCACUAUUCCGUGUCGAUAUUCAAUCGGCUUUUCGAUCUAUAACCCCAAAGGUUACUGAAGCAGUUGAUGAAAUCACGAUUGGCUAUAACAUUAGCAAAGAACUUCGUUAUGUGAUUACCGAAAAAUCCCUCGAAGAAUAUAAUAAAGUUUUUAGAUUCCUUUUAAAAGUGAAAUGGGGAAUUUGGGCUUUAGAAAAUCUCCAUUUCCCACAAUCACGAAAACGUACAGUUCCAUAUGCUCCAUUUGAAAUGAUUGACUUGAUUAUGAGAAGAUUAGAACAACUUCGUUUUUGGAUGAUUUAUUCAUUGCAAUGUAUUCAUUUUCAUCUAAUGACACAUGUUCUACAAUCGAUGGGUCAACAAUUGGAUGAAAAAUUUGACAAAUGUAGUCAUAUUAGAGAAAUGCUAAGAGUGCAUGAGUCUUACAUUACAACUGUGUGCAAUCAUUGUUUUUUGGGAAAAAGUUUCAAUAGUAUUAAAGUUGGUGUUGAACAACUUUUAAAUUUGGUUUAUAUUAUUCGAAUGGAAUGGAAUAGUUGUCUUAAAGAAAUUGAUUCGAAAAAUAUGUUAUCAGUUGGUUCGCUAUCGGAUGAUGAACCAGAUAGUUCAGGAAAUUAUGUUGGUGUCUCACAAAUUGAUGCUAUUGAAGUUACUUAUAUUAGAUGUCAUCAAUUUUUGGCAAAUAAUCUCAAUAAUGAAGUUUAUUUAAAUCAAAAUAAUUUCUUGUCUGGAUUGAGUGCAGCAUUCAAUGCAAGCAUACCAUACUAAGAGAAGUGCGUCACAGUUCGAGCUUGUUCCUGCAAAUAUUCUUGUGGCUUAAUGUAUAUCUAUUCGUGGUUUGGGCACUAGCAUAUGUUUUCUUUAUUCUGCACAAUGCUCAUUCUGCAGAAAAGAGUCAAGUUAUUUUCUCAUCAUUUGGCUACACAGUUGCAGUAAUAACGGAGUUUAUUCGAUUAUUCCUCGGUUACUCUGGUAAUCUCAAAAGAAAG